rnacentral:rRNA from 1 species
GCGCAGCAGUCGCGAAUUUUUCUCAAUGGGGGAAACCCUGAAGGAGCGACGCCGCGUGGAGGAUGAAGGCUUUCGGGUUGCAAACUCCUGUCAUUUGAGAACAAGUGGCCGAACGUAACUGCUUCGGCCUUGAUAGUAUCAGAAGAGGAAGGGACGGCUAACUCUGUGCCAGCAGCCGCGGUAAUACAGAGGUCUCAAGCGUUGUUCGGAUUCAUUGGGCGUAAAGGGUGCGUAGGUGGCGCCGUAAGUCGGGUGUGAAAUUUCGGAGCUUAACUCCGAAACUGCAUUCGAUACUGCGGUGCUUGAGGACUGGAGAGGAGACUGGAAUUUACGGUGUAGCAGUGAAAUGCGUAGAGAUCGUAAGGAAGACCAGUGGCGAAGGCGGGUCUCUGGACAGUUCCUGACACUGAGGCACGAAGGCCAGGGGAGCAAACGGGAUUAGAUACCCGUGUAGU